UUUUGAGUGGUGGUCUUUAUAUGGUCAAGCACAUGGCAAGUAGCAGGUUGGGUUUAGAAAGCACUAUUAGUUUUUAUGACCAUGUAGAGCUAGUUAAGUAAUUACAUGGCUUGUGGUUGCAUGGAGUAUUUUUGAACCCUAGACUUCUGUCAAGAUAUAAUAAAAGUAAUGGUAUAAAAAGCA